rnacentral:rRNA from 1 species
UACGUAGGCAGCGAGCGUUGUUCGGAGUUACUGGGCGUAAAGGGUGUGUAGGCGGUUCUUUUAAGUUUGGUGUGAAAUCUCCCGGCUCAACCGGGAGGGUGCGCCGAAAACUGGGGGACUAGAGUGCGGGAUGGGAGAGUAGAAUUCCUGGUGUAGCGGUGAAAUGCGUAGAUAUCAGGAGGAAUACCGGUGGUGUAGACGG